CGUAUUAUUGGGCUGUACAUUCCUGGGUUGAGCAUUCUCGGGCCGCGCAAUAUUGGUCCGGGGCGAUAAUACGAAGCCACUCUUUUCACAGGGCAAUAAUGUACGACCCCAUAAUUCGCGUCCAAUAAUUUGAGUCCCUUGGCUUUCAAUUAUUGGGCUGCGCAUUAUUGGUACAGGUCGAGAAAGCCCGACCCAAUAAUGUACGACCCAAUAAUAGGAAGCCAAAAACCAGAGAGAUUCUUUUUUUUAAGGGAGCUGUCAAAAUUAGUAGGGACGUUCUGACAUUAGCUCUUGACAAUUUAAAAAUAAUCGGUUUUUUCUAGUGCCAUCUUUCAGUGACAUUGACAGUAUUGUAUUGACAGUUGUUGGUUUACAAAUACAAUAAAAUGAAUUCUAAUAAAAGAAACAGUAGACUCAGUAGAGGUACGAGGUACUGAAAAAAUAUUAAUUAAUGGAGAAGCCGAAGUUGGAGGAAAACAAGAAGAUUCGAGGAGAAUGGUGUGGCACUUAAUGCCGCCGGGACAGUAACCUAGCUGCAGCUCCAACUCUAGGGAAUUGGGCUGAAUGAACGCAACACGUGAUCGACAGCCCACCUGCUUCCUGCCGAGCGUCCCUACACUACAUCUACAUGGAUUCGCUUAUUCUGCUCUACAAAACUUCUGAGCUGAUACAAGCAGCCAGAAUGAGUCUCUGCUGAGUCGCCGGCGCCGGACGUGCGUCGCGCGCCUCGGGCGACUGACGUCUUCGUGUGAGUCGCCAAUUGCAGGGGAAGAUACGAAUAGUUAGGUAUAAAAGCUACUUUAGUCAACCUCGCCUCAGUACUGUUUGUAUUGACUGAAAUACAAGUAGCAUAUAUGAGACGUUCGGACGUAUCCGUGAAAAUACGAAGGUAAAGGAAAUUGCACUACAUUUUUAGAACCUAUUCACCUGUCAGUAAAAUAUUGAAAAGGAAAGUUCAUGAGUUUUAUUAUUUUCUUUCCUCCAACAGCUUCACAUGGAGCAAAUGUAAACCUUUUAUGUUAAUAAUAUCAGUAAUGUCAAGGUACAACGCUCUUUAGAGCAUAUUGCCAUUCCUUUUACUCGAGUGGCCUGUGGGUUAACUAUACGAAGCGAGCCUACGAUGCAUUAAAAGUGCAGUAUAACAAUGCAUUCAGAAUGCUGUUGGGCUUACCUCGUAGAUGUAGUGCAUCUGGCAUGUUUUGCGAAGCUA